rnacentral:rRNA from 1 species
AGGUGGCAAGCGUUGUCCGGAAUUAUUGGGCGUAAAGCGCUCGCAGGCGGUCUUUUAAGUCUGAUGUGAAAUCUUACGGCUCAACCGUAAGUGGUCAUUGGAAACUGGAGGACUUGAGUACAGAAGAGGAGAGUGGAAUUCCACGUGUAGCGGUGAAAUGCGUAGAGAUGUGGAGGAACACCAGUGGCGAAGGCGACUCUCUGGUCUGUAACUGACGCUGAGGAGCGAAAGCGUGGGGAGCAA